GGGGGCGUAAUGGUUUCGACGGGGGUAUCGAGGGCUGGAAUAGCGAGCCGUGGCCCGGAGCCACGAUAAAAGCCGGAAAAAUAAAUAUAAACGCAGAUAAAGAAUUUGCAUUUGCUGCCUAAUUAGGGCAGCUCGUUCUACCUAUAGUUCCCGCACUAUAGGAUAGGGCGUCAUUUAGCGGGGAACGUCACUGCCAAAGCUUUGAGGCAGAUGUCGCAUUAUGAAGCUACUGAAACUGUAAGGCUGUCAGCGGUCGUGCAGCGGAGGGAAUGUUAAAUCACUGACUGCGCUCGGAGAGAUUUCAGUUUGAGGACUUUCGGACGUGGGUUCGAUUCCCACCGCCUCCACCA
rnacentral:tmRNA from 1 species